rnacentral:rRNA from 1 species
GAUGAACGCUGGCGGCGUGCCUAAUACAUGCAAGUCGAGCGAACAGACGAGGAGCUUGCUCCUCUGACGUUAGCGGCGGACGGGUGAGUAACACGUGGAUAACCUACCUAUAAGACUGGGAUAACUUCGGGAAACCGGAGCUAAUACCGGAUAAUAUAUUGAACCGCAUGGUUCAAUAGUGAAAGACGGUUUCGCUGUCACUUAUAGAUGGAUCCGCGCCGCAUUAGCUAGUUGGUAAGGUAACGGCUUACCAAGGCGACGAUGCGUAGCCGACCUGAGAGGGUGAUCGGCCACACUGGAACUGAGACACGGUCCAGACUCCUACGGGAGGCAGCAGUAGGGAAUCUUCCGCAAUGGGCGAAAGCCUGACGGAGCAACGCCGCGUGAGUGAUGAAGGUCUUCGGAUCGUAAAACUCUGUUAUUAGGGAAGAACAAAUGUGUAAGUAACUAUGCACGUCUUGACGGUACCUAAUCAGAAAGCCACGGCUAACUACGUG